ACUUCGAGUAACACGGCGUACGAUCUAACCGUGAACGAUCACCGGAAGAAUUUGGGAAUGUAAACAACGAAGAGUCCAGGCAUCGAAAGACCGUAUUUCUUCACCUUGUUUGCAUGAUUUAACCGAUUCUUACUUGUGUAAAAGUGUAAUAACAUGUUUUUCUGUUAAAUAUGCUCUGUUCGUUUGGAUAAUUCCACAGGAACCGUCAUUAGCGACUUGAAUAGAUGAUGUGCGAGAUCAUAGAAUGGAUUUGCCUGCACUCAUGCGUCAUUACAGUAUAAGGGACUUUAAUCUAAAAAGAAACCCUGCACAUUUGCAGCUGUUCAGAAUGCAGUUCAUGCCAUAUGCUGUUAGAGUAAAUGAUGAAAGAUGUUCAAACCAGUGUCAAAAGAGUCCCAAGUCUGAAAUCAUGGUGCUCAAGAGAUCAGCAUUUGUUUUCUGUACAUUGUUGACAUUUGUGGAACUGUUUGGUUUAUGACCAUCUCUCUGACAUUUGAAUUUCAAUUUGAGCGACGGAUAAGAAAGCCAAAUUAUAUGUAUGUAAAACAUAAUACAACUGUAAUAAAUCAUUGAUAAACUUAAACAAAGUCCAUGUACAUGUAUCUGUGAUCUUUGAAUUGAAAUUCAUAAAUGCUGUACAUGGAUACUUUAAAUGACUUUGUGUCAUGGUAAUGGAAUAUUCAAUUGUUUAACAUUGUU